UACAGGAGAAUCAGAUAUUCGCAUUUGAACCUCCUCUCAACGUUCGUUGGCAUUGAGUCGUUGAUAUUGCCAAACGAGUAAUUUUACUGUGUUGCUUUGAGCUCCAUUCCAUCUCUCCUCAGUGUUGGGUGAAAUCCAGGGCAGCCAUCUUCACAACGGCAACCAUCCCACGCCACGCUCGCUGUUCACGAAUCAGAUAUUCCCAAAUCAAAUCAUUCAGUUUCCUAAACUGUACGAUUUCUUCUCUUCCACCUGGGUGUCCCCAAACGGUCCGAUUUCUUCCCUUCCUUCAGGUUCCAGCUGGGUUUUCCGGUAUCCCCAAACGGUCCGAUUUCCAGCUGGGUGUCCGGUGUCCCCAAACGGUCCGAUUUCUUCUCUUCCUUCAUGCUCCAGCUGGGUGUCCGGUGUCCCCAAACGGUCCGAUUUCUUCCUUCAUGCUCCAGCUGGUGUUCCCCAAACGGUCUGAUUUCAACUUCGCUUGGAGAGCACGUUUCACUGCUCUCCAACACAACGGCUCAAGAAUCUUGACAUCCCUCUCGUCUCGCUCUAUUUAAACCCUUCGACUAACAUCGACAGUAGCUUUUCUCUUAUUCUGCCAGGUCCUUCUCUAACUCCGCCCCCUCUCCCUCCAUCUCCUAUUUAUCUGCCCCGUUCAUCUUCUUUCCCCCUAUUAUCCCUCAAGACUCUGAUCACAAUCUCUAGUUCGUCGUCUCUUCUCUCAAUACCCCUGGGGAACAACCAGACUACCCAGCAACUUCUGUAGCCUACUGGAUUUGUUUUAAAUCUCGUAAUUGACAUCCCACCGGAAUUGCUACACAAGUGGGAGAAGUGCAAAUUGUGAAACUGUGGGAGGGACACGACAAUCACGAGCUCCACUUCUGUUUCUAUAUUUUGUUCAGCAUGCAUAGGAGUUUUGAUUAUUGCAUGGAGGAACUGGACAAAUCACGUAUCCACUGCCAUUUCUACAUUUUAUCCAGCUUGCAUUGUCAGUUACACAUGGAGAUGAAGAAUCGGAAAUUACCGGAACAGGUUUACGCUGAAGCUUUCAGUUCGUCUAAUCGUGGUUCAAAUAGUGGGAAGCCUAUUUUUUAAGGGAUUUCUGUUUUUAUUGAUGGAUUACCGUGCCAUCUAGUCAGGUUUAGAUGAACUUGGCAAUCUUCAUUUAAUGCAGAGGUUUUACCAAAAACUUAAAAAAUUUUAUUUUCUGUGCAAUCUUAACAAAAUCUGUGAGUGCAUGUUGUAAAGCAUGGAGGAAGCAUUGAAGACUUUCAAGGCGUUGCGGUACUCAUAUUGUCAUUCGUUGGUGGGUUACCAGUAGUGAAACCUGCCUGGUUGAUGGAUUCUAUUGCUGCAAAUAAACAAUUAAGAUUGAUGUUUUAACCUUUGUUUUUUAUUCCUGUGCAGUUUUGAAUUUACAUCCCUUUUUCUAAUUUCUUAAGUAUGUAAGUUUUUGCAAUGAUCAUAUUAUAUAUUUCUGAAUUUACUUGAUGAGGAUACGCACCCUUAUUUAGCUUUGAUUAUAACAGAGCUCCCGGCCACAUUUCAUUGUCAAUUGGAGAAACUUGUACUGCAUCAUUUUCCUACUUUUAGGUACACAAGUUGUUAAUGCUUCUACUUAAAGAACAUCUAUAAUCCACUUGGACAGGGUAAUCUCUGUGGUCAAGGUUUUUGAAUGCUAUAUUGUAGUUUGUGCUUUUUGUUUUUCUCUAUAGUUCUUUUGUUGUGGUGUUUAUUUGGUCUCAAAUCAUCAUUGACAUCAUAAGAAGAGAUGCAAUCACUCUUGUAGAAUGUGUGCCUUUUUGGGGCUACCUUUUUCUCCCUUGGUUAUUGAAAAUAUUAUACGCGUUAAAUUUUAGUGUUGGCAAAUUUUGUAGAUGAAAAUAUAAAUUUGUGACAUUUCAUUUUUGUUUGAGUGUUGUAAAGGUCAGUUCCCUAAGUUGUUACUUUCUUCCCUUGACGGACAAAUGUUGUUAUACUGUCAUUUUGCAAUUUGAGUUGCCUAUAUGCUAUCUACUUUCUGUACUAUAUAUCUCAACUUUUUCUCAAAAAAAGUAAAAAAAAAAAAAGACAAGAAGGUCUUAUAGUUGAGGGCACUCCAGCCUCUGAAGGAGUUUCGGCUAGUGACAUGUCAAAGCAUCAAUUGUAAGUACUAAAAGUGAUUUAACUUCGGUUUUCUUUAUAAAAUUGUAAAAUACUUCAUAAACCUAUUCCCUCAUAUGGGAGGAAGGGAGGGUUCUGUUUGUUGAAUUAAUAAUGUCACAUGUCAUAGCAUAUGGACCAAUAUUUUUCAUUGGACAGUGAUCGGGAUAUACCAAAGAGAGGGUUUGAAUUUUUGGGCGAGAGGGUAAAAUUACCCUUUUCCCUUGCGUGGAAAUCUGUAAAAAUCCUCGCCCUGGGUUUUUGCCUCCUCUGCUUAUCCUUUUUCAUUUCUAGUUUCUUUAUUUCUAGACAUCUGAACUUGCAUGUCUGUUUCUUUCUGUUCUGAAAUAGAAGACCAUUGUCUGGUGAAUUGAAUAAGUGUGUGAAGGAUGCAGGGAAAAAUGCUCCUUCGUGUGCCUUUCCUACUUUCUGUUCCUCUUCCUUCUAAGAUUUCAGACGAGCAAUAUUUAAUACAGCUAUCUUUAGCAAUCUAUGCCUAGCCAUCUUGAAGCAAUCACUCAGAUGUCUUGACUUGUAUCAGCUCAUUAAGAAUCCUUGUCUUGAUGAUGGUUUAAUGAUGUCAAUGCAUUUACUUUCUUGCUUGCUUGGGAUUUGUUGUCAUUGGUAUAAUUCACUAUGUUUAGUAGUAUUUAAAUCUAUGCUUCUUGUCUAAUACUAUAUCAUUUAGAACUAUUUUCUUAGGGCUAAGUUUCUGUAAACUUCUAAAAAAUUUGAUGGAUACCAUAUGGGAUGGUAGGCAAAUGCAAAAAUAGAAGAAUCUGGAGAAUACUGCGAAUACUAACUUAGAAACAUGGAGAAACAUGUUUGGUCGUGGCUGUUUCUUAACAUCAUUAACUAGAUGCUGCUCCAUACUUUGUUGUGGUUGGUGCAACGCUUUUGUGCACACUCCGUGGAAGAGCCCAAUGCAUAAGAAUUUUGCAGGUUAGAAAAGAAAAAUUUGAUUAAGCUUCAAUCUCCAACCUUUCAUGUUUCAAGGAAAAGACUUGUCAAUGACUGAGAACUUAUGAAGCUUUGUUUAGAGACAGUUACAAGCCGGGCUACCAAGCAAAAACCCAUGAUUAGACAGAUGAAGUUAUCGAAGAAUACAAAGAAAGGAAAGUUAUUUAGAAGAACACUCAUGUGGAGUUGCAUUUGUCGAAUUUACCAAGCAUCAACAUGAACCUGUUGCGUUGAGACUCGAGAGUUCUUAACGACAAUCCUGGGAUCACCCAACCUGUAUAAAAAUGAUCACAGAGGAAGCUUACAGUCUUGCUACCUUUUUCUGUAAAGAUUGUUCAUCUAAAGAUAAGAAGAAGUUGCAGCAGAACCCUCAUGCUACUUCCAGGCAUUCAGAUACAAGGGUGGGACUGAAAUGCCGCCGAAAGUGAUGGAUGGAUACUCUGCACAAACUGCAAGCCAAAGUGGUGAGGGUUUUUUCAAGAUGGGUGCACGGUGGAUGCUUCUUUUAUACUGUUUACAAGUGUUAAAUCAGCUUGUGCUUGUGUUGCAGUGUUACACCAAAAAUAGAUUAGUGAUGGCAUUAUUUGGGCAAGGCAACUAGGUGGAGAGGGGAACGACCAGACCAGCAACUUCUGUGGCCUACUGGAUUUGUUUUAAACCUCAUAAUUGACAUCCCACCAGAAUUGCUACGCAAGUAGGAGAAGUGCAAAUUGUGAAACUGUGGGAGGAACAUAACAAUCACGAUCACCACUUCAAUUUCUAUAUUUUGUUCGACAUGCAUAGCCAAGGAGUUUUGAUUAUUUCGUGGAGGAACAUGACAAAUCUCAUUUCCACUGCCAUUUCAACAUUUUAUGCAACUUGCAAUGUCAGCUAGUGCAGAAUUUCAUCUUCAUCGCCAUCUACCUUGUGCACAAGCUUUCCAUUUUGACUUUUUGAGAAACACUAGGAGUUUUGAUUAUUUCAUGGAGGAACAGGACAAAUCACAUAUCCACUGUCAGUUCUACAUUUUAUGGAGCUUGCAUUAUCAGGGUUCUUGUUUGAAGGGUUCGUUGCAGCUAUUGGCUCCUUAACUUCUUUUAUAUGUUGGUUUUGAUUUUUGCAUGGAUGAACAAGACAAAUCACAUAUCCACUGCCAUUUCUACUUCUUAUGCAGCUUGCAUUGGGUCAGGUACAUGUCUCUAAAUCUUUUGAUGAUUUCUGACAUUUUUCUUUUUUUAAUUUAGUCUUGUGGCCAUAUUUGAGUGAGCUUUUUUGUUGCUUUAUUUCUUCAUAUAGCUUCUAAGGCCAACUUUAUCUUGCUAUUUGGAUGUACAUUUGAGUUUCUUCUGUUUUAUGCUCCAUAUUGUUCUUGAUUUUGAAUAAUUUGUUGCUAAACUGUAAAGGUUUACCUUCAGCUAAUGCAGAAUUUCAUCUUCAUCGCGGUCUACCUUGUGCACAAGCUUGCCAUUUUUACUUUUGAGAAGCACUAGGUACUGUUAUAACCUGUGUAUAGGUUUUCAUAGUUUCAUUGUUGUUGUUUGGGUAGCGUUCUUGUUUGGAGGUUCCAUUGCACCUAUUGGUUUCUUAACUUCCUUUAUAUGUUGGGUCAGACUAUCUUACUUUAUGCUUCACGAUUUCAUUGGAUGCUAGUGAAUUAAUAAUAUCUCAAGUUGCACAUUGUUUAUUGAUUU